ACCAAGGCAACGAUGGGUAGCCGGCCUGAGAGGGUGGUCGGCCACACUGGGACUGAGAUACGGCCCAGACUCCUACGGGAGGCAGCAGUCGAGAGGCUUCGGCAAUGGGGGAAACCCUGACCGAGCGACGCCGCGUGGGUGAUGAAGAUUCUCGGAUCGUAAAACCCUGUCAGGUGGGAUGAAAUACCAUUCGGUUAACACCCGAGUGGCUUGACAGUACCACCAGAGGAAGCUCCGGCUAACUCCGUGCCAGCAGCCGCGGUAACACGGGGGGAGCAAGCGUUGUUCGGAUUCAUUGGGCGUAAAGAGCUCGUAGGCGGCUCUGUAAGUCGGAGGUGAAAGACCACAGCUCAACUGUGGAAACGCCUUCGAAACUGCGGAGCUUGAGGCCGGGAGAGGAAAUCGGAAUUCCUGGUGUAGCGGUGAAAUGCGUAGAUAUCAGGAGGAACACCGGUGGCGAAGGCGGAUUUCUGGACCGGUUCUGACGCUCAGGAGCGAAAGCCAGGGGAGCAAACAGGAUUAGAUACCCUGGUAGUCCUGGCUGUAAACGAUGGGCACUAGGUGUGGGGGGAUCGACCCCUUCCGUGCCGCAGUUAACGCAUUAAGUGCCCCGCCUGGGGAGUACGACCGCAAGGUUGAAACUCAAAUGAAUUGACGG
rnacentral:rRNA from 1 species